GGGCUUUUCACUUAGUGGUAGAAUAAUGCCUUGGUAAGACAGAAGUUAUCGGUUCGAAUCCGAUAAAGUACU
rfam:Cajanus cajan Scaffold106359_1, whole genome shotgun sequence.